UCAAUUGUCUUGGAACAACACAGCUAAACUAUGUCUAGAGAGAAGCUUCCCCUCCCAACCAAACCUCAAGAUCAUUAAACCAGAACAGGCUAACAUGUCAUGAAGCAGGCAUCAAGCAAGACGGGAAGCUCUUCUCCUGCAUAUGCUCCUACUUAUAUCUCUGUCUCAUCUUCGGCGCUUUCUCUUCAACCUCCUCAUGCGCUUCUUCUUCCACUGAAACAUAAGAGUAUUGAGUUAGACUAACAUGAAAAGAAGAAAACACUAGGAAUGAUAUUGAAAAGGUACAUAAUAUCUUCUGCCAAGCAUGAUAUUGUGAUGAAGCAGUGUUCAUAGUUUUUGCAUACAAACUUGUACGAAGACAACACUAACAAUGACUAUCAGGAAGGCUAUAUUAUUAUUCUGCAGUAGUUUUUAUGCCACUUGCCCUACUUACAAACAAACUCACAAAAUGCUAACUCAAACACUAACGCAGGAUCAUUAAUUCAAUCCUCUAGAGCACUGUCUACAAUCUGGCCCUUUGGGCGUGUGACAAGUUUCAACAUGAUUACAUUAAUACUUAUUGUUCAAAGAUGAACUUAAUGUCACUCCUUAAGAAAUUAUAUAAUUACACUGGCAUCUCAAUGGCCCACUUCACCAUAAUAUGUACUUUCGGCGGUAAGACAAACACCCAAUGCUGGUAGCAGCAAACGGUAGAUGAUUUCACCACCAAAAGAAAUACAGUAGAUGAGUUUCAUAUAAAAAUGCAUUAUUAUAUAUGGCAGGACACCCAAUCCAAUCACAUUCACAUCUAAUCUAACCUAAACAAAUUAAAAUAGUACAAUCUUUUAUAAAGAAAAGCAGAAGUUACUGGGAACAAAUUAAAAUUAUAAAUUCAUACAGUAACAACAAAAUUAAGUUGAAAUCAAUGAACCGACCUUGGAUAACUUGAAGGUAAAAAAUCAAUAUCCUCCGGAAAGACACAGUAGAAACAGACAGCACUACAGCAGAAAUGGAUCAAACUGAAAAACAAUGAACACAGUACAAUUGGAUCAUCUUUCAUUUGCAAAAGCUGGUUCAAGAUCCUCUUUGAUUGAUCAACUUAUGUAAUAAUGCAACAAGAGAGGGGAGCAAUCUGAGCUCGAGAGACAUGAACGAUCUCUGGAACAAAUUGAGAGAAUAAAAUACAUGAUCUAAGAGACAGUUCGUAGACAGAAUCGCCACGAGUCGAGCGAGUGGGUUCAUACGCACGAGAGAGUCAUGAACAAUCUGAUGAAAUUUGAGUUAGACACGCUCAAAUAGGGUCAUUGUGACCUCUUAUUCCCAAUAAUCUGAGUCAAAUAAUCACCAUAAGUCUUUACAAGAACAACUUCCAUUUUUGAAGUGAUAAAACCUCAAGGAGUCUCUAACAGUAAUAAUCACACAAACAACUUUAGACAUAUACUAAAUGGCAUUGUGACAAUCACCACAUAUUCUCAAAUUUUUAAAAACCGCAUUGUCGACUGUCCAUUCAAAUUAAGUAUCCCAAAUGCAACAGCAAGCUUCUCACUAUGGUUACAAAGAUUCUCAGUUUUUUCCUCUAUUAAUAUCACCAAGAACAUAAUCAGUGUCAGCCUUAUAUCCGGCCACUUUUACUUUCUCAACCAACUCAUCCAAAAAGUGAUAGAUUUUAUCACUCUCCAUAUUACUUUUGUCUCCAACAAAAGUGUGAACUCUAUUACCUACAUGAAGCCAACUACAUCCUGGAGUUUUUGUAAUUCCUCUCUCUUUCAUCAUCAUUCUGAUUUUUGAAGCUUCACUCCAUAAUUUGGCAGUAACAAGAAUGUUGAAUAUGGUAACAUAAUUUUCAGAGCUGUUGGAAUAAUCUCAAAUAGUUUCUUAGCUGAAAUCUUCGCCAACUCCACAUUCUUAUAUACCCUACAACCACCAAGGAGUGCUUUCCAAUCAAUAGCAGUUGGUGGUCCCAUAGGCAUUCUCUGUAUAAACUCAUGCCUCGUCGAGGCGACCAACACGGUUAUAGAUAUCGACCACACAUGAAUAGUGUUUAGCAUCAGGUUCUACACGAUGUUCCCUACUCAUUGAGUUAAAUAUCUGGACUCCUUCCUCUACUUGCCUUGAAUGGCUACAGGCAGAUAGAACACAAGUAAAAGUAACAAAAUCAGGCUUGCCCCUUGAUAGUAGCAUCUUCUCGAAGAGAAAAAAUGCUUAUUUUCCAUUCCCGUGCAUCGCAUUUGCAAAGACCAUUACAUGUCUACUAGAGAGUUUGAGAGAGAGAGAGAGGGAGAGAGAGAGAGAGAGAGAGAGAGAGAGACUGCUAAUUGUUAUUUCAUCAGGUUUAAAUCCCAUUGUUUGCAUCUUCCUAAACAUCUCCAUCGCCUCUUCUAUUCGUCCAUUCUCCACGCAUCCAUCAGUGACAACUGACAACAUUCCAUGUAAUUUCAUCUGUUGAGUUGUGACUCCAUCUUUGCUAAUCUGAGAAAACAGGGAAAGACCCUUCUUGUAUUCUUUGUUUGUGAAGUAUGCUGUUAAAACUCCAUUCCAUGAAAUAGCAUCUCAAUGAGGCAUAAAAUCAAAUACUGCUUGAGCUUCCCUAAACACAGAUAUUUUGCAUACAAGUUCACCAAGGCAUUACAAACAAACAAAUUUUCUACCAUACUAUGUCUCAUCACAAAUUCAUGAAUUUCUUUACCUAAUUUCAAAUCUUGCAAAUCCGAGCACACAGGCAAAAUACUAAGCAUAGUCACCGGGUUCAGUUUCACCCCAUUCUGUCCCAUUUCAUUACAAACCUUAAGACCUUGCUGAGGAAAUCCACUGUUCACAUAGCACACUGACAAGGAGUUCCAAGAAACAACAUCGCGACGAGGCAUCAAAUUGAAUAGCGUUUGAGCUUUUGUUACACGUAGACAUUUUGCAUACAAGUUCACAAGGGCAUUGCAAACAAACAAAUCUUCUACCAUACCAUGUCUCACAGUAAAUCCAAGAUAAAUUGUUGCAUCAAAAGUAGUAAAAUAUAUUUGUUGUCUUGGUUUGUGUAGAAAGUCAAAAAGUGACAAUUAAAUAGCAGCGGAGGGUGUAAGACCUUGCUGAGAAAAUCCACAAUUCACAUAGCAUGAGGGCAACGAGUUCUAGGUAGCCACAUCUUGGGCAUCAAAUUAAAUUACACAGAGACAUUUUGCAUACAAGUUCACAAGGGAAUUGUAAACAAACACAUUUUCUACCAUCCCCCAUGUCUCACCACAAAUCAAUGAAUUGUCUUACCUGAUUGCAAAUCUUUCAAAUCCGAGCACCCAGGCAUGAUGCUAGACACAAUCACAUGAUCCGGUUUCACUCUAUUCCACCCCAUUUAAAAUAGAAUUCAACCCUUCUGGGGAAAUCCACAAUUGACAUAGCAUGAGAACAACGAGGUGCAAGUAAGUAACCACAUCUCUAACAAGCAAAUCAUCAAAAACAAAUCUGCCACCCUCAACGCAUUUACAUUUACCAUAAGUAUGAAUCUAAAACCUGCUAGAAUCAAGCCAACAUCAGUCCACUUGUGUUGUUCGAUGGUAGGAACUGAACAUUAUUAUGUAUAUUAAUCGAAAAUAAAAUUCCAAAGCGAAGGUUCCUAAUGAACCAACUCCAAACCAUUCUUCCAAGAAAACAAAUUUAAUUUGAGCUUAAAAACGUGUUGUAAUCAGAAACUCCAAAGAAUUCAGAUUAAGAAAAAGGACAAAGUCCAAACCAUAGAACUUAAAUAUGUAGUAUAUUUAACAGCAUAUGGUGUUACUAAAAAAAAUGCAAACCUCCACUUGAGUAGGGAAGGAACUCCCUAGCUGACCAAGGAAGAUUUUGCCUCCUUACGAGUUUUUCGCAAGCCUUGAUGAAAACACAAAACUGUGACUUUUGUUUUUAUAGAUAGGCGAAAUGACAUCGAUAACUAAAAACUCAAGUGAAGAAUCCAGGAUUCACACCAAUCAUGACAUCUUAGCAAUUUCAGCAUUCUUGCUUGUUAAGUCUUUCUAACACCCCGAAAUCCUAAUGUCUUUUAAGAGGCACAUAAAAAAAAAAAUCACAUUUACAGGAGUACGCGCCACAUCCGGACAUGACUAGGGGUUUGGACUGUCUUUGAGAAGAGCAAAAGGAAUGGAAUCGUUUAGAGAAGGGAAGAAGGUGAAGAUGAGAGAGGGAAUUUCUUCACCUAUUUCGAAAAGCAUUUUUGCAGAGGAUGAAAGGAAAAUACUUAUAACUAUCAUUUUGUUUAGUUUGAAAGUAAAGAGCUUAAGAAGCAUAAGGCUGUUGCAAAGUGGUCGAGGUGAAAAGCUUGACCACACAACUCAUCUUACUUCCAUAUGUAUUUCAAAAUUCGCAUGAAAAUCGUAUCAAGUUUUCCCCCCUCAUCAACGUGAUUUCAUGUAUUUAAUCACAAAAGAUGAAGAAUGUGAAAGAAAAACCACAUCUUAAGCUUACCCGGUGAAGGAAUAUCAUAAAACACAGAUUAAUCUGCUGUCCUAAUAAAUAACCACAUUUUCAUGCAAGUCUUAAAAUGCUUAUAUUAGACAUAAAUAUAAAUAUCAGCAAGUCCACCAAAACAGUACAUGCACCAAUACUACAAAACACUCAAAAUCAAUUGUCUUGGAACAACACAGCUAAACUAUGUCUAGAGAGAAGCUUCCCCUCCCAACCAAACCUCAAGAUAAUUAAACCAGAACAGGCCAAUGUAUCAUGAAGCAGGCAUAAAGCAAGAUGGAAAGCUCUUCUCCUGCAUAUGCUCCUACUUAGAUCUCUGUCUCAUCUUUCGGCGCUUCCUCUUCAACCUCCUCAUGCGCUUCUUCUUCCACUGAAACAUAACAUCAUUGAGUUAAAGUACAUGCAAAAAUAACAAAAUAAAUCAAGCCAACAACCACGAUAUAUUACAUCUACAGCCAAAGCAUGAUACUGUUAUAAAGCAGUGUUAAUGGCUUUCCAUACAAACUUGUACCAUGACUACAGUAGAACUAUCAGGAGGUUAUAUAUUUCUGCUCUAGCUUUAAUGCAACUAGACCUACUUAAAAACCACAAAAUGCUGGUUUAAUGACGAACUAUGCAACAUUGUUAAUUUAAUCCUCCAUAUACAAAGUACAAAACAUAAUGCUACAGCAUGGUUAUAUUAAUGCUUACUAUUAUUCAAAGAAAUCACACAAUCCCGGUAUCUUAAUGGUGCAAUUCAGUUAAUAAGCCAGAAGCACAAUGCUGGUAGCAUAACAGUUAAUGAUUUUAACAGAUAAUAGUGGUAGUUAUCUAUGGCAGAUCAUCCAAUACAAUCACAUUUAAUUUAAACUGAUCUAUCAAAUAUAUGACCAAUGCAUCUCAGGUUACAGUACAAGAUCAACUGCUGAAACCAAAAAUUGUAAAAAUACUUUUAAAAAAUUAUUCACUUUUUAAAAACACUUCACUGUAAAAAUUGUAAUUGAUUUUGUGUUCAGUAAAUGAGUUGAAAUCAAUCAUAAAAACUUGAAACCGAAUUUGAGAAGAUAAAACAUAUUUAAGCCUAAAAAAUAUCAUCAAAUUAACUGAAACCGAUGACAAGAACAAAUUAAAACAUUCAUUCAUGUUUCUAUCAUUUGGAACAAGCACAGCAUUGAUUCACAUAUACAUUUCUACGAGGAGAAAUCAACAUUGAAAUAAAGACACAUCAAACAUUAAACGGCAUAGUGAAUCAGAAACCUAAACUCAAACCCUAAAUCAUAAUUGUAUCUAAUCCCAAAAACAUUGAACAUGUCAAAUCAUCAGAAAAUAAUUAAAUAAAAUAUAAUUUAUGUAAUCAAGAAAGAUGAAUUACCUUAGCUCUCAUGUUGGAUGAUGAACGCUACGCUCUCAAGCUUCUCUGAACGAUGGCAAAUUUCCGC
rnacentral:lncRNA from 1 species